CGGCAGCGCGGGCUUCGGCCUGGCGGCGAGUGGCGGACGGGUGAGUAAUGCAUCGGAACGUGCCCAGUUGUGGGGGAUAACUGCUCGAAAGAGCAGCUAAUACCGCAUACGACCUGAGGGUGAAAGCGGGGGAUCGUAAGACCUCGCGCAAUUGGAGCGGCCGAUAUCAGAUUAGGUAGUUGGUGGGGUAAAGGCCUACCAAGCCUACGAUCUGUAGCUGGUCUGAGAGGACGACCAGCCACACUGGGACUGAGACACGGCCCAGACUCCUACGGGAGGCAGCAGUGGGGAAUUUUGGACAAUGGGGGCAACCCUGAUCCAGCCAUGCCGCGUGCGGGAAGAAGGCCUUCGGGUUGUAAACCGCUUUUGUCAGGGAAGAAAAGACUCCUACUAAUACUGGGGGUUCAUGACGGUACCUGAAGAAUAAGCACCGGCUAACUACGUGCCAGCAGCCGCGGUAAUACGUAGGGUGCAAGCGUUAAUCGGAAUUACUGGGCGUAAAGCGUGCGCAGGCGGUUAUGCAAGACAGAUGUGAAAUCCCCGGGCUCAACCUGGGAACUGCAUUUGUGACUGCAUGGCUAGAGUACGGUAGAGGGGGAUGGAAUUCCGCGUGUAGCAGUGAAAUGCGUAG
rnacentral:rRNA from 1 species